rnacentral:misc_RNA from 1 species
GAAAUGCGAUAAGUAAUGUGAAUUGCAGAAUUCAGUGAAUCAUCGAAUCUUUGAACGCACAUUGCGCCCGCCAGUAUUCUGGCGGGCAUGCCUGUUCGAGCGUCAUUACAACCCUCAGGCCCCCGGGCCUGGCGUUGGGGAUCCGCGGAAGCCCCCUGCGGGCACAACGCCGUCCCCCAAAUACAGUGGCGGUCCCGCCGCAGCUUCCAUUGCGUAGUAGCUAACACCUCGCAACUGGAGAGCGGCGCGGCCACGCCGUAAAACACCCAACUUCUGAAUGUUGACCUCGAAUCAGGUAGGAAUACCCGCUGAACUUAAGC